rnacentral:tRNA from 1 species
CCGUGGUGUAGUGGUUAACAUGCCUGCCUGUCACGCAGGAGAUCGCGGGUUCAAAUCCCGUCGGG